rnacentral:rRNA from 1 species
AGCGAACGCUGGCGGCAGGCCUAACACAUGCAAGUCGAACGAACUCUUCGGAGUUCGUGGCGGACGGGUGAGUAACACGUGGGAACGUGCCUUUUGGUUCGGAAUUACUCAGGGAAACUUGUUCUAAUACCGAAUGUGCCCUUCGGGGGAAAGAUUUCUCGCCAUUAGAGCGGCCCGCGUCUGAUUACCUAGUUGGUGAGGUAACGGCUCACCAAGGCGACGAUCAGUAGCUGGUCUGAGAGGAUGACCAGCCACACUGGGACUGAGACACGGCCCAGACUCCUACGGGAGGCAGCAGUGGGGAAUCUUGCGCAAUGGGCGAAAGCCUGACGCAGCCAUGCCGCGUGAAUGAUGAAGGUCUUAGGAUAGUCAAAUUCUUUAACCGGGGACGAUAAUGACGGUACCCGGAGAAGAAGCCCCGGCUAACUUCGUG